GACGAACGCUGGCGGCGUGCUUAACACAUGCAAGUCGAACGGAAAGGCCCUGCUUGCAGGGUACUCGAGUGGCGAACGGGUGAGUAACACGUGGGUGAUCUGCCCUGCACUUCGGGAUAAGCCUGGGAAACUGGGUCUAAUACCGGAUAGGAGCCAUUUUUAGUGUGAUGGUUGGAAAGUUUUUUCGGUGUAGGAUGAGCUCGCGGCGUAUCAGCUUGUGGGUGGGGUAAUGGCCUACCAAGGCGGCGACGUGUAGCCGGCCUGAGAGGGUGGACGGCCACAUUGGGUCUGAGAUACGGCCCAGACUCCUACGGGAGGCAGCAGUGGGGAAUAUUGCACAAUGGGCGCAAGCCUGAUGCAGCGACGCCGCGUGGGGGAUGACGGCCUUCGGGUUGUAAACUCCUUUCGCGAGGGACGAAGCUUUUUGUGACGGUACCUAGAUAAGAAGCACCGGCUAACUACGUG
rnacentral:rRNA from 1 species